rnacentral:rRNA from 1 species
GGAUUGUAGUCUGCAACCCGGCUACAUGAAGCUGGAAUCGCUAGUAAUCGCGGAUCAGAAUGCCGCGGUGAAUACGUUCCCGGGUCUUGUACACACCGCCCGUCACACCAUGGGAGUUGGAAAUGCCCGAAGCCAGUGACCCAACCGUAAGGAGGGAGCUGUCGAAGGUGGAGCCGAUGACUGGGGUGAAGUCGUAACAAGGUAUC